AAGACGAUAAAAGUCUUAGAACCUGCGUGUUAAUAGCUCUUUCAUUGGCCUGAAAGGGUGGUUAGGGAAUC
rfam:Paraprevotella clara CAG:116 genomic scaffold, scf204